CCUACGGGAGGCAGCAGUGGGGAAUAUUGGGCAAUGGACGCAAGUCUGACCCAGCAACGCCGCGUGAAGGAAGAAGACUUUCGGGUUGUAAACUUCUUUUAAGGGGGAAGAGCAGAAGACGGUACCCCUUGAAUAAGCCACGGCUAACUACGUUCCAGCAGCCGCGGUAAUACGUAGGUGGCAAGCGUUGUCCGGAUUUACUGGGUGUAAAGGGCGUGCAGCCGGAGAGACAAGUCAGAUGUGAAAUCCACGGGCUCAACCCGUGAACUGCAUUUGAAACUGUUUCCCUUGAGUGUCGGAGAGGUAAUCGGAAUUCCUUGUGUAGCGGUGAAAUGCGUAGAUAUAAGGAAGAACACCAGUGGCGAAGGCAGAUUACUGGACGAUAACUGACGGUGAGGCGCGAAAGCGUGGGGAGCAAACAGGAUUAGAUACCCUUGUAGUC
rnacentral:rRNA from 1 species